AGUGGCUGGGCUCUCUGGUAAGUGUGACAUGUAAGCAUUACAAGGCAUUUCAUCCUGGCAGGCUGCAGUCGCUGCUUGCCGGACUGCUGCUCAGGGGGAGCGCUGCCGCGGCGGUGGCUUGUGCUCUGCUCCGACGGGCUUUGACCGACCCGCUCGGACAGCCGGGCUUUUUUUAAGCUUUGCAAGGUUAUCUGCUGAUGGUAUAAUUUAAUUUGUCAAGGGAAGAAACUGAUAAGCAGAAGCUCUUAACUGAAGAGGAGGAUCAGGUUGGCACAGUGACAGAUGUUUGGAUAAAGAAGUUGGCUCAGAGAAGAUGUACGGAGUUUGAUUUUUUUUUUUUAUUUUUUUUUUUUUUUUUCCCCCUUUCUUGCCUCUCCCCCUCAAUCUGAAUGAAGACUAUCAUGGGAACUGCAUUCACAUGGUGAUCAAAAGAAACACUUGAGUGAUGAACUGCUUUUGCAGAAGUCUAAGGCAGUAAUUUGAGCUUUUGUGUGCAGUAGCUCGCUUGUUUUGCUGAAGCAUUCUUCCCCAGCGGUGUUUCUGCCUGACGCAUUCCCUGAUGGAGAAGCCGCAGCUACUGCCCGGUGAAGGAGAAAUGAACGCUCUGCAUUGCUUGUGUCCCUGACAAAGUAACGCUGCCUGUGUUGCUGUCACUUGGGGAGGCUGGAUUCAACCAGCAAUAUUAUUCAAGGAGUUCAUUGUCCCUGUGGUCUGACUCAUCGCUUGUAAAUGCACUGCAGCCGUGCUGUACGUUGCAGAUCUUUUUCUUGCAUGGGAAAGACUUAUUUUCCUCUAAGCAGAAUAACUGCUGGAAACGAGAUGCGUUUUUCUGGCUGGACUGUUUGACAUUGAGAAAAGAAGCUGUAGAAUGAUAGGAUGAUCAGAAGGCACGUUUAUUUUCGGUCACCAGAAAGCCUGUGACGAUUGAUUUAAAACUGACCUUGCAGGAGUGGGUAUAGCUGCAGCCAUCUCUCUCAGGGCAAUUGUUCCUUGUUCCGUCCUCCAUAGGACGGGUGUCGUAUCUUCUGCAACAAUGAUUUCACUGUGGGGGUAGAAGGACACUGUGGAAGUUGUGACAUUAACAAAGACAAGUUUGCUUGUGAAAGGACAGCUGUGUUCGACAGCAAGUGCUAUUUGAAUGGAAUUGGACCUUGGGAUAUUUUUAUCAGCUGUUCCACAAUUUUUUAAUCAUGGUUUUGAUGCCUAGGGAAAUUUUAUUUUAAAAAGAGCACCUUUUUUUCAACAUUGUCUUAAACAUCUCGGGGUGUUUAAAUCUGAAACAUGAAGUGUAAGGGGGGAUUGGAAUGUCCUUUUAAAAAUGCUGAUACCCCAGUGGUCGCACUCACAAGUUUGUGAGGGCAUGUGAAACAGGUGAAAGUGUUUCCUCUAUGGUCCCUGCUGUGACACCUGCGGUCUAGUUCCCAAAAUACCGUUGCUGGCAUUUUUUUAUUUGCUUUUGCUUCCUCAAACGGAUCGAAUGAGUCGAGUCUGUAUUGUUGUUUUGGAGGAGGUGGAAGAUGAUUCUCCCACAUUUAUUUCCAAAUUACCUCAGGAAAAUGUGUCUUUGCGUCCAUCACCCUCUGGAAAUGUGCUGCCACCACUGGUUCAAGCUAUAUUUAACGGAGAUCCUGAUGAAGUUCGAGCACUGAUAUUUAAGAAAGAAGAUGUUAAUUUUCAGGAUAAUGAGAAAAGGACCCCUUUACAUGCUGCUGCCUAUCUGGGAGAUGCAGAAAUUAUUGAACUACUUAUUUUAUCUGGAGCUAGAGUUAAUGCCAAAGACAGCAAAUGGUUGACUCCUUUACACAGAGCUGUGGCAUCUUGUAGUGAGGAUGCUGUUCAGGUGUUGUUAAAGCAUUCAGCAGAUGUCAAUGCUCGUGAUAAAAACUGGCAGACACCCCUACAUAUAGCAGCUGCAAACAAAGCUGUGAAAUGUGCUGAAGCUUUGGUGCCUCUCCUAAGCAACGUAAAUGUGUCUGAUCGAGCAGGCAGAACCGCAUUGCAUCAUGCAGCCUUCAGUGGACACGUGGAGAUGGUUAGCUUACUGUUGUCUAGAGGCGCCAACAUUAAUGCAUUUGACAAGAAAGACAGACGAGCUAUACAUUGGGCAGCGUAUAUGGGUCAUAUUGAAGUUGUGAAAUUACUCGUGGCCCACGGAGCUGAAGUGACAUGCAAAGACAAGAAAUCAUAUACACCCUUACAUGCUGCAGCAUCUAGUGGGAUGAUCAGUGUAGUCAAAUAUCUUCUAGAUCUGGGAGUUGAUAUGAAUGAACCAAAUGCCUAUGGAAAUACUGCUCUUCACGUAGCUUGCUACAACGGGCAAGAUGUUGUAGUGAAUGAACUCAUAGACUGCGGUGCUAAUGUAAAUCAAAUGAAUGAGAAGGGUUUUACACCUCUGCACUUUGCUGCUGCGUCAACACACGGAGCAUUGUGUUUAGAGCUUUUGGUCUGUAACGGAGCCGAUGUAAAUAUGAAGAGUAAAGAUGGGAAAACACCCUUGCACAUGACAGCAAUCCAUGGUAGAUUUUCAAGAUCUCAAACCAUCAUUCAGAAUGGAGCUGAAAUAGAUUGUGAAGAUAAGAAUGGAAAUACUCCUUUGCACAUAGCAGCUAGAUACGGUCAUGAGCUAUUAAUCAACACUCUGAUUACGAGUGGUGCUGACACUGCAAAGCGGGGUAUACAUGGGAUGUUUCCUCUCCAUUUGGCAGCAUUAAGUGGAUUUUCAGACUGCUGCAGAAAGCUCCUCUCAUCAGGUUUUGACAUUGACACACCAGAUGACUUUGGCAGGACUUGUCUUCAUGCAGCUGCAGCUGGAGGGAAUUUGGAGUGCCUAAAUCUUCUGCUAAAUACUGGUGCAGACUUCAAUAAAAAGGACAGAUUUGGGAGAACUCCACUCCAUUAUGCUGCUGCCAAUUGUAAUUAUCAGUGCCUGUUUGCCCUUGUGGGAUCUGGAGCUAGUGUGAAUGACCUCGAUGAGAGGGGUUGUACACCUCUGCACUAUGCAGCUGCAUCAGACACAGAUGGAAAGUGCCUGGAAUACUUGCUAAGAAACGAUGCCAACCCGGGGAUCCGAGACAAACAAGGAUACAAUGCAGUUCAUUAUUCAGCUGCUUACGGUCAUCGCUUGUGUCUUGAAUUGAUUGCAAGCGAAACGCCUCUAGAUGUUCUAAUGGAAACAUCAGGUGCUGACAUGCUGAAUGAUUCAGACAACAGAGCACCUAUAAGUCCCCUGCAUUUAGCUGCCUAUCACGGCCACCAUCAAGCUCUGGAAGUGCUGGUACAGUCGCUGCUGGACCUUGAUGUGAGGAAUAAUAAUGGAAGGACACCACUGGAUCUUGCUGCCUUUAAGGGACACGUGGAAUGUGUAGAUGUGCUCAUUAAUCAGGGAGCAUCAAUCUUGGUGAAAGAUUACGUUGUAAAGAGGACCCCAAUACAUGCUGCAGCUACGAAUGGUCACUCAGAAUGUUUGCGGCUAUUGAUAGGAAAUGCAGAACCACAGAAUGCUGUGGACAUUCAAGAUGGAAACGGACAGACUCCUCUGAUGUUGUCAGUCCUCAAUGGCCACACCGACUGCGUUUAUUCACUCCUUAACAAAGGAGCGAAUGUAGAUGCCAAAGAUAAGUGGGGAAGGACAGCAUUACAUAGAGGGGCAGUUACCGGGCAUGAGGAAUGUGUGGAAGCAUUGCUUCAACAUGGUGCUAAGUCCUUAUUACGAGACUGUAGGGGCCGAACCCCUAUACACUUGUCAGCUGCCUGUGGACAUAUAGGUGUUCUAGGAGCUCUCCUGCAGUCAGCUACAUCUGUGGAUGCAGUACCUGCAAUAGCAGACAAUCACGGCUAUACAUCACUGCACUGGGCCUGUUAUAAUGGCCAUGACAGUUGUGUAGAGCUCCUCCUGGAACAGGAAGUUUUCCAGAAAAUGGAGGGAAAUUCUUUCAGUCCGUUGCAUUGUGCUGUGAUAAAUGACAACGAAGGUGCUGCAGAAAUGUUAAUUGAUACACUAGGUGCUGGUAUUGUAAAUUCAACAGAUUCAAAAGGAAGAACUCCUCUUCAUGCAGCAGCUUUUACAGAUCAUGUUGAGUGUCUACAGCUUCUGCUCAGUCACAAUGCUCAAGUAAAUGCUGUAGAUUCUUCUGGGAAGACACCUUUAAUGAUGGCUGCAGAAAAUGGACAGACAAAUACAGUUGAGGUGCUGGUUAGCAGUGCUAAAGCUGAUCUGACUUUGCAAGACAGUUCUAAGAACACAGCACUCCAUUUGGCCUGCAGCAAGGGUCAUGAAACUAGUGCCUUGUUAAUACUGGAGAAGAUUACGGAUAGAAACCUCAUCAAUGCCACCAAUGCAGCCUUGCAAACACCUCUGCAUGUUGCUGCUCGGAAUGGACUAACGGUUGUAGUUCAAGAGCUUUUAGGGAAGGGAGCAAGUGUACUUGCUGUAGAUGAAAAUGGUUACACACCAGCUUUGGCCUGUGCUCCCAAUAAGGAUGUGGCUGAUUGCCUGGCUCUCAUUCUGGCCACGAUGAUGCCCGUUUCAUCGAGCAGCAUGUUACCUUCCCUUACAUUCAAUGCCAUUAAUCAUUACACCAACACCUCAAAAACUGUCACCUUCGAUUCCUUGCCGAUCAUGAGGAGUGACCAUAGUUCCUACUGUACUUUCAACAACAUUGGCAGGGAGGGUGGCUAUCCAUAUACAGAAGAAGACGAACUCAAUGACUCAGAUUCUGAGACCUAUUAGAAGCCACAUUUUGCAGGUCUGAAGAGUGAACGACCCCUCACACUGGAAGAAUUGGAUGACUCCAGGGAGUUGGUGAUUUCUGUAUUUUCUGCCCUCUGAAUCUUACAAGUACGGGAGUGAUGUCCGUGCCUCAGCUGAGCAUGCAGGCAGCACUCAGAAGAUCCAUAUUGGCCUGUCUUGAGAUUCACUGCAUCUAAAUACAAAGGCUGAAGCAGCACGGACCCGUUUUUCUUCAUGCACUUGUGGAAAAUCUGAUUCGGAAUGCCAGAUGAACGGGGCACAGUUAUUGUUACAAGCUUCAUCCAAACAAUUGCUUGGAUUUUCACCAAGAGCAGUGAGCCUUGGUUGGAUCACUGAAGCAGUAGGUUAGAACAAAAGAAACCUUUUUAUCCCGAGGAGGAAAAAAAAAAAUAAAAAAAAAAAGGAAAGAAAAGAAAAUUGAAUGGACUUCAGGAAUGAGGACAACCAGCUCUGCUCAGCUUUCUCUGCACUCUGACUUCUGGGGGUGUUUUGUGGGUUUUCCACUUCUCAGGAUAAAUGUCAAGUGAGUUAGUAUUAACCUGCUAGGCUGAGCUGUUACUUUUAGAGUGUAGCAUGGCAGCAUAAAUGCUGUAUGCUGUUACAAUGAAGAAUCAGUCUGUCUUCCCCACCCUCACCCUGAGAGCGACCCUACUGUAAUCAAAAAGAUUUUUUUCUUGUAAUUUCUUACAAAAUCUUGACACCUCUGUGUCUCCUGCUUUGUAUUUCCUCCUAUUCUCUUUACUGCUUCCCCACACUUGGCUAUCUCCAAAAUAAUGACGUAAAUAUAUUUGGAGCAAUCAGAGCUAGAAAUAUGCACUUUUUAAACCUGGAUCUUGGUUGUGGGUUUUUUUCUGGUUGUAUAUUUUCUGUUUAAGAUUCUGUCUGUUCACCAGGCUAAAGAAUUUGGUUAAAAAAGGUUAAUAUUUAAAAAUUAAUUACUUCAAAGCUUUGCUCCUUUUAGCAUCUACACAAAGGGCACUAAAGAUCCCAAAGCUGUUGCCUAAGUUGUAUGGCAGAUGACUAAAAAGGCGUACGAGAUAAUGUAUACAGAUUCUUCAACCUAAUAAUUCUGGUUUUGAGAGGAAUUAGCUUUCCUGUCUUCCCCAGAGAUGAUGUCCAUUUAAAAGAAACAACUACUGUAGUAAUCCAGAAUAAUGUGCUCUAUUUAUUAAUUUUAGUUAAAAAAAAAAAAAAAAGAGAGAGAAAUUUCAUUAAAUCCAUUUGGAGAGAACACAAGUGUUCUGGUAGCUCAACUUCUUUACUGAAAAAAAAAAAAAAAAAAAAAACCAAACAACUAAAAAAUGUUUGUGGUGACCUUUCUGUUAAUCAUGCACUAACUGGGCGAGAGGAUAAGCCUGCAGAAAGAUUGUAAACGACAGUGAGUACUGCACAAAAGACUGCUGUCUGGCACAUACUUGUGAGAAGUUUUUUCACGUGCCAACCGUGGAACGGUUUUCAACGGUGCUGGCUGCGUCUGGGGAGCCUACGCGUAAUUCCGCGUUUGAUCGGUGAGGUUCACAUCUUCCAAAUUGAAAUCUAAAUAAAAAGGGUAAGCACCUGUGGAAACAGCAGUCCUGGAGGACGUGCUCUUCGCCUUGGUGUGCCGCAGGGUGGGUGAGGGAGCUCUGUGGGCGAGCAGCAGGAGGUGGCAGGACCUGCCCUCCCCAUCUCCCACCCCUUCGCCCGCUCCGUGGCUCUGCUGACGGUGCACACCCGCUUCCCCAAAGAGAUGCUGCCCUGCUUUUGGUUAAAAAGCAUUGGUUCCUGGUAACAACGUCAGUCCUGAUCAGAAUCAGACUAAUAACCUUGGAGAGCAGGGCCUCUUACCAUCUCUGAAUAAGCAGUUUAAACACCACUUUCAUAGGUUUGGAUUCAAACUCAGCGAAAUCCGUUUUAAUAGUAGGAAGAAGUAAGCGUUUAAAUUCUUGAAGUUGCUCCAGCAAAUUCAGUAUAAAUCCUUAAAUCCAAGAUUGACUGGUAAUUACUGCCUCCUGUAGUAAUCUCUCAAUGAUUUGUGAUGACUUCCUUAUAAUCCUUUAAUAUGCUGCAGAAGUCGAUGGGACAGUUGGAAAAGAAUUCUUUCAGAUUAGGAUUAAAAAUAUAUAUGUAUAUUUUUUUUAUAUCUGUAGCUGUGACUCUAAAUUGGACAAGACAAGAAUUAAUAAAACGUGCAUCUCCUUUAUAGACUGAAACCUGAGAUGCUAAAUGUGAAGAGACUAAAUACAGGCCUCUCUGUUAGCUGAUAGCAUUGGCUUUUUUCUUUUUCUCACUAGAAUAGCCAUGUUUUAAAGAAUGUUAAGUGCAAAGGAACCACUGUGCAUUCAUUUGAAAUGGCAAAACCACUGGUUAUUAUUAAGAAAAUAUCCUAUUAUUACAAUGAUCUAUAAACUCUAUCACAAAAAUCCCUUCAUUUUGCUGCUUAACAGGAGAAGCAGAGGCCUGGCUGCACAUUGUGAAGGUCACCCAUGCCCCCAGUCGAGAUCGGUGUAUCCUCUCACACCUACUGAGAGAAAAACUCCCUGAAAUGGCAGCCUUGGAAAGAGCGUUCCUGUCCAUUGUUCAGUCCUGUAGAGCCCAGGAAAACUGCAAGAGUUUUGGUUUCCUUUCCCUGGGGGAAAACUAGUUACAGACGUGACUAAAAUUUUCAAACCGUGAGCUUUUUCCUGUCUCUCCAACUCAUCUUGCAACUGAACGUCCCUGACAGAGGAAGAUGAGCAUCCUUGCUUGUGGGACUUGAAGAUUUCUUGCAACUCUUUCCAACCCGGUAUCCCAGUCUCUUUAGCACUGUUAUUUGUCUUCAAAUAAAGCAGUAUGUAGAUUAUC